UACGAAGGGGCUAGCGUUGCUCGGAAUCACUGGGCGUAAAGGGUGCGUAGGCGGGUCUUUAAGUCAGGGGUGAAAUCCUGGAGCUCAACUCCAGAACUGCCUUUGAUACUGAGGAUCUUGAGUUCGGGAGAGGUGAGUGGAACUGCGAGUGUAGAGGUGAAAUUCGUAGAUAUUCGCAAGAACACCAGUGGCGAAGGCGGCUUACUGGUCCAUAACUGACGCUGAGGUGCGAAAGCGUGGGGAGCAAACAGG
rnacentral:rRNA from 1 species